UCCGUAGGUGGCGUGUUAAGUCAGUGGUGAAAGCCUGCAGCUCAACUGUAGAGGUGCCAUUGAUACUGACAUGCUUGAGUAUGGACGAGGUAGGCGGAAUUUGUGGUGUAGCGGUGAAAUGCAUAGAUACCACAAAGAACACCGAUAGCGAAGGCAGCUUACUGGACCAUAACUGACACUGAGGCACGAAAGCGUGGGGAGCGAACAGGAUUAGAUACCCUGGUAGUCC
rnacentral:rRNA from 1 species